rnacentral:rRNA from 1 species
GAUGAACGCUGGCGGCGUGCCUAACACAUGCAAGUCGAACGAAGCACCUUACCUGAUUCUUCGGCUGAAAGUUUGGUGACUGAGUGGCUGACGGGUGAGUAACGCGUGGUUAACCUGCCCUGUCCAGUGGGAUACCAGCGGGAAACGCCCGCUAAUCCCGCAUAACCCCACUAGAAGACUUCUCUUUGUUUUAAAAACCCCGGUGGUACAGUCUGGGCCCUCGUCUGUUUAUCUGGUUGGACGGGUACCGGCCUACAAAGGCAACGAUCAGUAGCCGGGCUGAGAGGAUGAACGGAAACAUUGGAACUGGGACACGGUCCAAACUCCUACGGGAGGCAGCAGUGGGGAAUAUUGCACAAGGGGGGAAACCAUGAUGCAGCAGCACCGCAUGAGUGAAGAAGUAUUUCGGUAUGUAAAGCACUAUCAGAAGGGAAGAUAAUGACGGUACCUAACUAAGAAGCGCCGGCUAAAUACGUG